rnacentral:lncRNA from 1 species
UUAGUUACCCUAAUCCCUCAUGGAUCAAUUAUCCUGUGGGCCUAUAGUCCGAAUUGUUAUGAUUGCGUCUUUGGAACAUCACCAACAAUAUUCCACUUGCACUAGAGACAAUCAUAUAGGCAAGUUUUUCCAAUAUUCAAACCCCUUAAGUGUAUGACCUGUUAGGUUCAUGUGCAAAUAGCCAUGAAUAGAAACCAUUUCCGAACCACAAGUCAGUAGCAGUACCUACCAAGACAUAUUGACUCCCGAAUGUACAUAAAGAUCAUAUCGGCUGAACCUAGGUACAUUAAUUCACAUACUAAUUCCUUUUCC